GGGGGUGAACUAGAAUCGACGAAUGACUAAAAGUUGUUCUUUCGUUCGGAAUUGCUCCACCGUAAAGGGCUAAUUUAUAAUUGCUAACGAAAGUUACGCACUUGCUGCUUAAUUAACUUGUUAAUUAAGUUACGGGGUUCGGGGCACCUGGCAACAGAACGCCCCUUC
rnacentral:tmRNA from 1 species